UACGUAGGGUGCGAGCGUUAAUCGGAAUUACUGGGCGUAAAGGGCGCGUAGGCGGCAUGUACAGUCAGAAGUGAAAUUCCUGGGCUCAACCUGGGGACUGCUUUUGAUACGUGCAAGCUAGAGUGAGGAAGAGGGUUGUGGAAUUUCCAGUGUAGAGGUGAAAGUCGUAGAUAUUGGAAAGAACACCGGUGGCGAAGGCGGCAACCUGGUCCUUAACUGACGCUGAGGCGCGAAAGCGUGGGGAGCAAACAGG
rnacentral:rRNA from 1 species